AUGGCAGAGACCCCCAGAUGCACCAGAAAACCGAACAAGAAAAAGAAAACAAGAGCAAAGCAGGUCCCCUGCUGUGCCCCCAGGUACAUGACCACAUGCCAGAAAGAAAAGCCAUCCAGAGCCACCUAUGCAGAUGCCCACAGAGCUUGCCAAGGAGCAGAUGCCUUGGGCAGUAAAUCAUCUACAGUUUGGUCUCUGGGGUUGUAUGACUGCCAUCAAAAAAUGCAGAGAGGAGGAGGAGACAAGGCCACUGGCAGUGAGCACUACUCUGAGCAGCACCUGGCCAGUAUCAGCUGUUUUGCAUUCAACAGGCCUUGCCUCGUCACGCCGCCAUAGCGCCACCUGCUGCCCCGGGCGGCCGGGAAAUGGAGACCGCGAUCGCCCACCUGCCGGCCUGUUGGGGCUUUUCCCCCGACCCAAGGUGGAGGCAAUGUGAUACUGAUAUUUCUAAGCUUUAUACCAACAACCUGGCAUAUGAAGCAAAGAAGCCCUGUCAGAUGAGUAUUCCUGGUCCCAUAACACACAGCAUUUUCAAAGGAGUUGUUGUGGUUUAACCCAGCAGGUGGCUCACCACCACACAGUCAUUCACUCAUGACUUAGUGCGUGUUCUGUUUUAAAUCUUUAUUGAUGAUCUGGACAAGAAGAUUUAGUGUACCCUCAGUAAGUUUGCAGAUAGCACCAAGCUGCUAAGAAGUGUCAAUCUGCCUGGGGGUAAGAAGGUCCUACAGAGGGAUCUGGACAGUGUCCAUCACUGGGAUGAAGCCAGUAGGAUGAAAUUCAACAAGACCAAGUGCCAGGUCCUGAACUUUGGCCACAACAACCCCAGGAAAUGCUACAGGCUUGAGGCAGAGUGGCUGGAAGGUUGUGCAAAAGAAAUGGACCUCGGGGUGCUGGUCAGUGCUUGGCUAAACUUGAACCAGCAGUGUGCCCAGGUAGCCAAGAAGGCCAAUGGCAUCCUGAUUGUAUCAGAAAUAGUGUUGUCAAGCAGGAGCAGGGAGGUGAAUUUCCCUUUGUACUCAGCUCUGGUGAGGCCACACCUUGGUGAUUGGACUGGAUGAUCUUGGAGGUCUUUUUUCAACCUUGGUAAUUCUAUGAUCCUGUGAUAAAUAAUACUGAUACCCAGCUAGCCCCCAGUGAAAGAGCAUGAGAUGAACUCCCAUUCCCUUCAAAACUCCUUCCACUUGAUGUCAUAUGGUAUGGAAUAUCUCUUUGGCCAGUUUAAGUCAGCUGUCCUAAUUCUGUUCCCUCCCAGCUCCUUGGGUCUUUCACUGCAAAUGGCAGUGACACUGUAAAACACUGCUUAGCAGUAACUAUAAAUAUUAGUGUGUUAUCAACACUGUUUUUCUCCAAGAACUAUAGCAGCAUACCAGGCAGUCUAAAGAAUACAAUUCCAUCCCAGCUGAAACUAAGACAGGAGUGUCUAUUUUUCUAUACCAAUGGAAGUGUCUUCCCCCUGAAACUGAGCAGCCAGCUUCACACACUACUUUUCAACUGGCAGGUGCUGAAUGGGAGAGCAGCAAGGAGACUUCACCCUGCAAGGCAGUGCUGAGCUAAUACCCUGCUGUGUCUGUGUGAAGAAGAAUGAUGUGGGGGUGUGACUCCCACACUGCAAAUACCAUCUUCUAGUUAAAGUCAAAAAUUCUGAUGACUUAAGUCUUCUGAAUUUCUCUGCUGGGACUGUGGGGCAGGAAUGAAACUUGAAAAAAAGGGAUAUGCUACCAUAGUGGAACGCCACAGUACAUUGCCACUUUUAGGGCAUUUUAAGAAGGCAGUAUAAGGCAGAUGGUAUGACAAGUAUAAAGAUCACCCUGAUCUUCUGUCAAGCCAGGUAGUUUUUGGCUUGCUGAGGUAAUUCUUGUUGUCAGAAGGGUAGCAUACUCUAGAAAGGCAAAAAUAUUGGUCUAACCAUUCUACCAGUUGGAAUGACUCCCCUGUGGUUUUCCUCACUUCUAUGACUGACUUGAUAUUUGGUUUUUCUAUACCAAAGUAGAGAGGGAAAUUUUGAGUAUGUAUUUGUAUAAGCUGUCUUUGUACCAGUGAAAUAUCAAAUAUGUUCAGGCAUAAAUGUAAUUUUUUUCUAAAACUUUAUUUAAAAUCCAUUCGAAAUAAAGCUUUAUAAGUCUCUGUACCCA
ensembl:lncRNA